rnacentral:lncRNA from 1 species
AACUACACAGAGAAUAUAAAUGAUCAGCUUUGCAAUUCUCUUGUUCUCGGGUGGUUAUUUCUAGAAUCUUUACAUCGUGUGCCUGGCCACGUUGGGAGGAUUAGUCUAAUUAAAGCUAAAUAUCAUCCACAGCCCCACUUUGGGCAACACAUUCAGGGAGACAGCAGAGCUGCGGGCACUCGGCUAGAUCUCCAGUAUAUACACCUUGUCCCUCCUCUAAGAAUCAACUGGUCUACGGAAAUGAAAGCUAUGAUUGCGGUAGCCGCGAGUCCUGUGACUAGAAGAGAAUGGCAGUUGAAGUCUCUGGGCACCAUACAGGCAAACACAUGGCCUAAAGAUAAGAUACCGAAUUGCAGGCACUUCUGUUUUCCAACAAAUUGCAAAUACUUGAAUAUACAAAUUUCUGAGGCUGAAGAAAAGCCCUCAAAUGUCUAGCAACUGGAUUCGGGAUGUUCACACUGUUUUAACAAAGACAUUUUAAAAAUAUUGCUCUUAUUUUCUGGUCCUAUUUUAUAAAAAUCUCAUGUAUAC